rnacentral:tmRNA from 1 species
GCACUGGCGUAGGCCGCCGGCCUCGACUAUAUUGUUGGCGUCGGGGUUUCCCGACUAUGGCGCUAAACGCCAUGCGGAAUAAGCGUUGCGGACCCGGGGGCGGUACCCGGCGCCUCCACCAAUGUUUCCCGGUUCGGGCCUUCGCGGCCGCCGGGCCUCAUGGGGGCGAAACAGGAUCGACGCGCGUAGUAAAGGCAUGGUUUGCGUUCGGCAUGGUACCACCGUUAUCGGGCCAUCCUCACAAGUGCCAACGACAACGUGGCUCUUGCCGCUGCCGCUUAACCGGUAAGCGCGGUCCGGGGGGCGCCGGGCAACAGAAGUCCCCCCACU